GACUUUUACAUUCCGCGAAAAACCAAUGCCAGUUAGGUGUACGGAAUCAACAUUUUCGCGGAACUUAAUUUUUUCCGUCGGAACAAUUGGCCAUAAAACUCUACACAAAAAUAGAAAUCUAAAAAGCGCGGAACUUUCAUUUAUUUUCCGUCGGAACAAUUUACUUUCAACCCUGUAGAAAACGCUGGCUCAAUAAAUCGCGCGGACACUAAUAGCUACCUUAAAAAUCGGGCGGAGAUUGUCGAAUAUCUAUUUUUAGAAGUCUAGCGCUACAAAGAGAAAAUCCAGUAAAUACCAGAUCCAAAAAGCGCGGAGCACUAAUAUCGUCCGCGAAAAAUAAAGCAUUGAAUUACUGCACAAAACUCGGGUUGUUAGGGCUUACAUCCUUAGUUACCCGCUGUAAUUUGAUUGGUUCCGAGAACUAGAAAUAACCAAUCAGAAACUUUGUAACAAAUGCAACAUAAUGUCAACCUCCAUUUUGUGUAUCUGCGUGCGAAAGGCGGUUUGGUAAUUGAAUUUUAAUGGCAGCCAUCCUUCAUGUUGUCUGUGUUAGAGCCAUAAACAAUGGUUUCUGAUGAUACAAAGCGGAUAAUAAGACACUACCAUAGUCUUGGGUACGAACAAAAGUUAAUUAUUUACCUGUUAAGGGCACAGCACAACAUUAACUACAGUUUUGAGUAUCUCAAAAGAAAAGUGUUUCCAAGCCUUACAUCAAGGAGGCGCCAAUUUUGUUUUGAAUGUGUAGUCAUUAAGUCAUUGCACGAGAUACACAAUGGAUGCUCUGGUUCUGAACAGCUGAGAAAAGUGCUGCGAAUAAAGCAUGGUUUUAAAGUUUCGAGGGCAAUUACAAGAGAGGUUGUCCAUAUUCUGGACUCUGAAGGAGUUAAAAGAAGAGCUAGAAGACGUUUGAGAAGGAGACAGUACAUUUCGAAAGGGCCCAACUAUGUCUGGCAUGCUGAUGGCUAUGACAAAUUGACUCCUUACGGCAUCUGCAUACAUGGAUGUAUAGAUGGGUUCAGUCGAAAAAUCCUUUGGUUAGAGGCCAAUAUCACAAACAAACGACCAGAGGUUAUUGCAACCUACUUCAUCAAUGCGGUGUUAAUAGAAGGUUAUCCUGUGAAACUAAGGACAGACCCUGGAACGGAAAAUGUGAUCAUCUCACGAAUCCAAAAAGAGUUGUCACCAAACGAAAAAGCAUAUGUGUGUGGAUCGUCCACAAGUAAUCAGCGUAUAGAAAGAUGGUGGGGAUAUCUACGACAAAGCAGAGCUGACUUCUGGAUUGAUCACUUCAAGAGCCUUGAAGCACUUGAUGUCCUCGAUAAGAGCAACGCGAUUCACAGGUUUUGCCUUCAGUACAGUUAUCUACCGUUUAUUAAGAAGCAACUGGCUGAAGUUGUGGUAGUUGGAAUUCGCAUAGGAUUCGAAACCAAACCAAGGGGGAUAUAAUUAGUGGCAUUCCAAAUAUACUGCAUAGCUGUCCUGAAUUGACAGGCACAACCAACUUUGGAUCACAAAUAAAUCCUCAGCAGUUGGCAGUAUUACAACAGUACUGUACAAACGCACACGACUUUGAUACAUUGGAUACUGAUCUAUUAUCAGUGGUUCAGUGCAUUAUUAAUACUCUUAAUUUGCCAUUCCUGAAGAUAUUUAAGAUUUGGACUCUGCAAAAUGUCUGUUUGAAGUGCUAAUAACUCAUUGAAAAUACUCAGAUAUGCGAAUAACAUUUUAAUAUUGUGGCACUGACUGUUUAGACAGGUGUUAUAUUGUGUCAAUGCCUUUUCAGUUUGAUUGAAGUCUUAUUUUGAUUUGUAAAUAAUUUGCACUUUUCAAAAUGGUUGAUAUAACUAGUAAACUCCAAAAUGCUUUUAAACAAAAUCAGUUCUGUGAUGUCACCAUAGAAUUACAAUCCAAAAAAGUAUAAUCCAUCACAUCUUGCAGGCCCUGAUGAAGUCCAGUAUUGUUGGGUACCCUAGACUUUGUGAUCUGUACUCAGAAUGCAAGAGCUUUACUUUUAGACUUUAUGUUUUUUUGGAAUUGUUAGGCAGUUAUUUAUUUGGAAGAAUAAAUAUUACAUCUUUUGUGUCAGUUUACCUGUUUUAUAAAAAAAAUUAUUAAUUAUCUCGUAUUGGAAACAGCCAACUGUUUAGUUUGAGUAUAAAUAGAUGAUUUUAUAUAUUCUAUGGGACCAUAAUGCCUCUCGAUGAUGUGUAUUUACAUGCGAACCAUUUAUGCUAUCAUUAAAAAUUUAUUUGUCACAUAUAGGAAUGAA